rnacentral:lncRNA from 1 species
UGUGGUUUGCGAAUUUAACUGUAAAGACGUCGAGAAAGUGGCCAAAACUUCGCUCGGACUAGAUGCUGUAAGAUUUUUAGUAACUUCAAUACUCUGCAUAGUUUUUGAUUUUGUGUGUUCUAAUUCAAGUUCACUCUCUACAUAACUCUUGCUAGAUGAAUUCAAGAGAUGGGAACUUUGAGGAGCAAUAAUAAAAAAAAUGAGGACUCAAAUAUUGAACGAAGAAGAAGGGCUCAAAUAGGGAAGUGACUUAACUCUUUCUUUCUCUCUCAAUUCUAUACAUCAUGCGUAAGUCCACUUUUAGGAUAAUACAAGUAGAAUACAACACAACAAAGCAUUAUCCUGGAAAACAUUAGAAUUGUG